GACGAACGCUGGCGGCAUGCCUAAUACAUGCAAGUCGAGCGAAUGAUGAAGAAGCUUGCUUCUUCUGAUUUAGCGGCGGACGGGUGAGUAACACGUGGGCAACCUGCCCUGUAGAUUGGGAUAACUCCGGGAAACCGGGGCUAAUACCGAAUAAUCCAUUUCCUCUCAUGGGGAAAUGUUAAAAGACGGUUUCGGCUGUCACUACAGGAUGGGCCCGCGGCGCAUUAGCUAGUUGGUGAGGUAACGGCUCACCAAGGCGACGAUGCGUAGCCGACCUGAGAGGGUGAUCGGCCUCACUGGGACUGAGACACGGCCCAGACUCCUACGGGAGGCAGCAGUGGGGAAUAUUGGACAAUGGGCGAAAGCCUGAUCCAGCCAUGCCGCGUGGGUGAGUGAAGG
rnacentral:rRNA from 1 species